UCCCCCUUCACAGCCCCAUUCUCCCUCACCCCAUUCUCCCCUCACACCCCGUUCCCCCUCAGCCACUGCUCUCCCUUCACACCAGUGGUGCUGCUGUGCCCAUCAGAGGGGAGAUCCCGGGCUGCAGUGGUGCCCUUGGUUAUGUUUUUGGCCGAUCUACGCUUAUAGAUGAUAUUGGUGAUCCUCCAGGCUCAAAGGCUGCAGUUGUGCCAUCAAGCUCUUGUAUUAGAGACCAGUGACUCAUUUUGUCCUGUCCUUGUUCCAAAAGAAAUGCUGGGCCUUUCCAAGGCCACGGGGUCUUGAGUUUGCCCAAAGAGAACAUUCCUGAAAGAUCUGGCUCUAGAAUUAUCUCAGUUUUACCCCAUUUUCUCUGUCUGCACCUUUCAGGUGUGCAAAUACCCUCAUCCUUGGACCUGCUCCAGUGGCAGCUCCCUGGGAGGCUCCGCUCUGCAGCUGGAGGGGUCGAGGUGAUUCUCUGGCAUUUUGCUGGUUUACCUGGUGCAGAUUUACCUGGUCUGUGACGCUGGAUAAAGUCAGGAUCUAAUUCUUUUUCAGCCCAAAGGUACAUCCCACUGCUCCUUGGGGGGCUGGAGGAGGCUGGAUUGACACCUGGAGGAAGCAACUGAACUGGUGACAAGACACUGGAAAAUGCCCUUGGAGAAGGCAAAGGAAUGGCCCAGGCAGCUAAAAGACCACGUGCAGGGAUCAGGUUUAUUCGAAUGAGGCCUCGCUGGCACUCGAGGUGUCAGUGCCUGAAGGGCAGGUGGCAUUUUUGUUAACAAGGCUGAGGACACACAGGAACAGCUUGUCCUUGUUCCCUGGGGACACGGGUGUGGGUGACAGCACUGCAAACCUCCUUCCGGCACAGCGCUGGGCUCACAUCACCUGCCACGUGUCUCAAGGGCAAUUUAUUUUGAAUUGUGAACUCACAGAUUGACUUGUAAAUGUUCUAGAAAUACAUCCCGCCUUAUAAAAGCAUCCCAUAAUUCAUCCUAUCAUUCUUCACCUGCAACAAGAUGAUCUGGUCUUUAUAUUAAGAGCAAAAUGAAAUGCUUUGAGAACUGUAAACAGAGAAGAGAAGAUUCAAAGGUGCUUGGGCACUGGGCCAACCUACAGGGCUCUUCCUUGUGCAGGGUGGUUGGUUAGACCAAGGAAGAGCAAUUCUCCUCCUCUUUUUGCUGUCAGCUCCCUUGCAACUCCAAGGAAGUGGUUUCCUCAGUUGAAUGGUCCUCAGCAGUGCUGUGAGGGUGGCUGAAGAGCUUGUGAGGAUCACAAGACCUGCUUGUGAGGGUGAUUUCUUGAGGGCUCCUCCCAACGUGAAAGACCUGACAGUCUUAAAAAGCCGUGCAGAGGCCUUAUGGAGAUUUGUGAGCACAACAAACCCUGUCAGUCACAGGCAGGAGCAGCUGGUGUGUGCGUGGGACUUGACAGGAGAUGUGGCUCUCCCAGCACACUGGACUCUGAUAACCUGGGAGAUCCGGUGUCACUGUGCGUGUCACAGUGUCACUGUGUGUCCUUGGGUCAUGCACAGACAGCAGUGGAGUUGUGAUGGUGAGGAGACCUGGAGUGUCUGGGGGUGGUGAGGGGAAAACAACCCAGACAUGGCUGAUGCCCCAAAGGACUCCACUUGUGCUUCUCCACCUUAGUUGUGUUUAACCAUUUCAUAGGCUGCUUCUGCCCCUAAAUUGGAGACCAUUGCUGGUCUAAAUAAUCACAAAUUAUGUGCUGCAGGUUUAUGUUGGACAUUAGGAAGAAUUUAUUCACAGGAAGGGUGAUUAGAUGUUGGAAGAGGCUGCCCAGGGAGGUGAUGGAGUCACUGUCCCUGGAGGUGUUUGAGAUGGACGUGGCUCUCAGUGCUCUGGUCUAGUUGACACGGUGGUGUUUGGUCAAAGGUUGGACUCCAUGAUCUCAGAGACCUUCUCCAACCCAGCUGGUUCUGGGAUUCUGUGAAACAGGAUGGCUGAGGAGAGAGGCCUUGUCCGAGCUCAGCCAAGCCCCUGCAGUGCUGAGACCAGAGGAGACAGUGGCUGCAGCCCAGGCCACUGCUCUGGCCAUGGGCCCACACUGCUGCCCUCUGUCUGAGCUCUCCAUGCUUUCCCAAGAAAACAGAGGCCUCAUUAGAGGGAAAAGGGAAUUCUGUGGUGCCAGAGGUAUUUUUUCAAGAGCCGAUGCUCUGUCCUGGAGCCUGUUGUGGUGGUGCAACCCUGCUGAAUGAACUACAUGGAGCUGGAGCAGCAACCUCCUGGGAUGGAGGUUACUCCACUGGAAUGGGCAGGGAACACGCUGUGACAGAGCUGGGGCAGAUGGAGACUUCACAGAGCCAGCCCCAAAAUGCUUUUCACCUUCCAAGACAGUGGUGUAGGGCACUGCCUACAGCAGAGACAGAGCCCUUUUGGGUGUGGAGACGUCUGUGAAGCACCAGUGACACCCUUCCUGCUGUCUUCCCACAAAUGUGGGGUGUGGGGAAGAGGGGAAGGGAUGAAAUCAGGGUGGCUGUGGUGGAUCCUGUUUGUGAGACUGAGCCUCUGGCGAAUCCUCCGCUCUGCACCCCGUGGGCGUCCCUGGCAGUCUGUCCCCUCCUGCCUUGGCAGAGGAGCACUGCAGUUGGCACUCCUUUCACUGACACCUGAUUCAGCCAAAAAUAAGCUUUUCUAAGAUUUUUGAUGGAGUUGCACGAAACACCAGAAUAUUUAUGCCUUAAGUGUAUUGUUGGCCUCAGGCCUGCCAGGGCUCGGUUUUACCUUCUAUGGUCAUGCAGGAGGGCUGCAGUGAUCCCAGCCCAGCUCAUGGGAUCUGCUCCUUCAGCCUGGUCAGCUCGGAGCUGUUGAGCUGGGCUGGUGGUCAGGGAUCCCUCCUGCUUCCAAGUGAGUGUCCUGAUUUAACCCCAGCUGGCAGCUCAACCCCACACUCACUCCCUCCCUCUCUCCCUCCCCUGCAGUGGGAUGGGGGGAGAAUCAGAACAGUAGAAGUGAGAUAAGUUGUGUGUUGAGAUAAAUCAGUUUAAUAAGUAAAGCAGAAGCCCUGCACUCAAACAAAGUAAAACAAGGAACUCAUUCACUGCUUCCCAGCAGCAGGAACAGUGGGGGAGAAUUCUCCAUGUGAGAUCAAGGAAGUCUCUCCUACCAGAGGUCACUGCCUUGGGGGCAGUUUGUAGCCAAGUCCCCAUGGUUUAGAAGGGUUGUUCAGUGCAGCGUUGGACUACAUGUCUCCACCCUCUUCCAGCUUGCACAGCUGGGCUUGUGUUUCCCUAAAAAUUCUCAAGUGAAUACAGAAUUCAUCAUCUUCUGACCUGCUGUGCUGAGCCAGUGCUAAGCAGCUGCUCUGUUUUGGAAAGGAUGGAGGGAUUUCUGGGGAGGCCCCUGGGCAGGAUGAAUUUCUUUGUGUCAAAGGGCUGGUGGGACUGGGAGGGGGCUGUGGUUAUAGGAUCCCACCUGGAUCUGGCUUCUUUGGAGCAGGAUGCUCUGCAGAAAUGUUGAUAGCAACUUGGAGAGAUGACUCGGUUGUGUUUGGAGGAGGUGAUUUUCCGUGCCAGUAAAAGCUCAGUUUCUCUGGCAAAGAAAAGAACACAAAAAUGUUAAUAAUUGGGCAAGUUGCCUCAGUGCAACCCAAAUGUUGUUGUGCCUUCUCAGCUCUGCCAUCAGCCUUUAAUUCGGAGGCCCCAGAGGGGCCAUGCCUGGAUAUCCAGCAGUGUGAGGGGAGCUUUGCCUCUCCCUGCAGGGCUGACCUCAAGGAGGAGGAGAACCAUGGAGACUCCAACUACAAUAGCUCGUCAUCUUCUGCGUGGCCCAGCCCUGGAGAGGGCUGGGGGCUUGUCAGGGGGUUUGCAGCUCUUGGAAAAGGGACAGAUAAUGAGCACGAGCCUUUAUUUCUGUAUGACUUGGAGGAAUUAAAAUGCAAGCCAGGAAAACAAAGGACAGGCAAGUGGGAAGCUUCUGAGGGCUGUCUCCACAGAUUUUAUUGUCAGCUGUAGUGAAAUACAUGUAUUUAUGAUCAAUUAAAGAGACAUAUUACAGUCAUCUGACAUCAGUGGUGCCACCCCAGCUGUGCUGAAAUGAGCCCAAACUGUUGUGUUUCCAGCUGGGGACUCCUCUCCAGGAGGGAUUGCCUGUGGUGUGGGGUUUCCCUGUACGUGAUCUUUUCGGGUCAGCCUUGCUCCUCAGAAGGCAGUGACACUUUUGUUCAGAAUUAUUCCAUCCUGUCUAAAUUAAUCUUUUUGUUGCUAAUCUGGGCAGUAACGAGAUCGCAGUGGGCAGGGCUCUCCUCACACACGGGGCUUGUAUUAAAAAUAGACGUUAAAUUAGAAUUUCUUGGGCCCUUUCAAACUGAUCCUGGACCUUCGUCAAGAGAUGUCCAUGCUUUUCCUCCCCCAGCAUUCCUCCCUCCUUGGAAUCCUGCUUCCCUCACGAUUUUUUGAUUAGCAUCGCUUGCUGCCAUAGAUAUUAUUUCUCAGAUUAUGUUUCACCCUCCCCUUCUCCGUAUCCCACUGCAGCCACAGAGCAGGACAAUCCCUCAUCCCAGUCUCAGCAGGGCAGGAGGGGAUAAUGUUGCUGACAGAAGACCACAGGAGGCAAUUAACAGCUUCUCCAGCAAGCAGGCCCUGACUGGAUACGGGUUAUUCCGUGCUAAACAAAGAGCCAUUCCAUAAUCACAGAAUUCCAGAACUGUUAUGGUUGGAAGGGACCUCUGGAGAUCAUCCAGUCCAACCCCCUUGCCAAGGCAGGGUCACCUGGAGCAGGUGACACAGGAAUGCAUCUAGGUGGGUUUGGGAUGUCUCCAGAGAGGGAGACUCCACACCCUCCCUGGGCAGCUGUUCCAGGGCUCUGCCACCUCCAUGGAAAGAAGUUUUUCCUUGUGUUGAGGUGGAACUUCUUGUGUUGUAGUGUAUGGCCAUUGCUCUUCAUCCUGUCAUUGGCCACACUGAACAGAGUCUGGCACUGUCCUCUGACACCCACCUGUGAGAUAUUUAUAACACAGUCACUUCUCAAAGAGCCCUCCUGGAGGGGGAGAUAAAGGAGGGCCUGGGGACAGAGGCUGUUCUGCAUUUCUGCUGUGCUGGCUUUCUGCUUGGGCAGGAUUAUUCCAAGAGUAGGUUCCAAGCGGUACUUUUUGUCAGGAGUGGCCUGUGUGGAUGUGACACACCACACCUGAGUGCCUCCACAUCACCAAGGCCGUGCUGGAUGGUUCUGAACUUCUGGCUCUGCAGAACAAAUGGUCCCAUGAGCAGUGGGAACGACCCCAAAAUCCUGUUUCCCUGCAUUGCUGUUUUGGGCUCAGUGUAAUGCAGAGCAAGAUUCAGCCCCUGGCUGUAGGUGUGAGGAAAUUCUGUGGAGGGAAGUGUUUGCCCUCCAGGGGCAUCUCCCAAGGGUGUUCUGCACUGCUGGGAAUCACACACCACCCAGAGCAGCCUUUGUGCAGGGAGAAGGGCCAGCAAGUAUCUGGUGCAACACUGGAAGAUACUGGUGGGUUACUGGGAAGUGCUGGUGGGUGAUGGGAAGUCUGACACCAACAUCGGUGAGGGCCCAGCAUCUCCUGAAGCUCCUGAACCUGCUGCAGGGAGGUGGAGUCUCCACUGGAGCCUUGCUGCAGCCUUGGAGCGCUCCAGAGGUGGUGGGAGAGCUGGAGAAACUCCACCUGCUCCAGAGAGGGCUCUGGGCUGCUCAGUGACCCACAGGCUGCCCACCCUCACAGAGCCAGGCCUGUCCUGCUGCUGCUGAGCUGUUUGCUCACCCCAGGCUCCCUCCAAACGCCUGCCCUGGCCUGACAGGUAUCUCGUGGGUGGCAGUGCCCAUCCCAGGCCCACUCCCAGCUGGCCCUAUUUCUGGAGUUCAAAUGUUGGCAGGUAGGGGAGGUGAGACAUUUGAAGCACGAGGGCCUGUCACCGGGGAGGGGGAGGGAUAUUUAUCUGAGCUGAUGAAACUUCUUGUCAUUGCCCAGGGUUGGGAACUCGGCACAUGUGUUCUGAACCAUCAUUUCCAGGGCACGAGUGGGCUUGUUAUUCAGGACAAAGCAAACAAAGCGUUGUUGGAGUGGGCAGAGGGAUUUCUACCUGAAUAAAUUAUGCCCAGUUAUCACCACCUGGAUGGCAGUCACGUGCCAAGGGCUGAGACAACAUCACUCCCUUUGGAGUUCAGCGGGCUCCUUUGUCUUUUCCAGGCACUCAGCUGCAGGUCAGAUGGGCAAGAAGCUCUCCCUGGUGAUUUAAAGAGGUCUCUGUCACUGCCCCCAUUCCUCCUUUUGCCUUAUCCACAGAAAGCUGCUGCUGGUGACCUGCAGUUGCUCAGCAUGAACUUUGCUGCUUCAUCUGCAGUGACUGGUUUCUCCAAACCCUUGGAUGAGGGCCCUGGCUGUGCUGUGAUUCCCCCUUAGAUCUCUGCAGUUCUUCUACCUGAAGUGCAACAGAAAUAGGGAAAGUUCUCCUCAAAACUGUUCUUGCUGUAAUGGGCAGAUUUCACAGCCCUUCCCCAGUGUUGGUGACUCUUUCCUCAGUGGGGAAUGCUCAUGACAGGCAAUAAGGGAUGGCCAGGUAGCCCACAGGAUUGGUGGCCAGCUCUGCAGGGUGUCUGGGGCAGGGACCACCACUGUGUUCACAGUGACCAGAGCAGUGAGCUGUGAUCCUACAAACAAACCACUGCCCUUUCUAUUGCUUCCUCCCACGAGAACCAAAACCACCUGAGCAGGUACAGCUCUAGAAGAGUUUGGGCUUGGAUUAGAGACUUCAGAAGUCCUUUCCCUAAACACAGACAUGACUCAGGGCAUUCCACAGAGAUCAGUGACCAGAGGAACCUCCCUCUGUGGAUGCUGGUCCAGAAGGGGUUCAUUUCUGACCCAAAGCAGGUAAUACUUGGGUGUCUCUGCAGACUCACCUCCUGUUCGCCCAAAAGCAAUCUCACACCACUCAGGCCAGACAGGGUAUGACAGGCACAGCUGCCUUGAGCACUCACUCCCCAGGUCACCCACAGCCCAAGUGGCCCCAAAGGGUGCUGCCGCUGUCACCAGCCACCACAGCUGCUGGAAACCAGCUCCUUCUGCUGGCUGAAGGUUCUCUUGCUCUCUGAGACCCAGGAAGCCCCUGGCACAGUUGAGAGAGCCAGGGCUGGAGCACCAGAGCUGCUGGGAAAGAAAGGUUCUUCAUUUCAUUGCUCUUUCUGCUCCUUAGACAAACAUUUCAAUGCAGAUGCUGAGGACCUUUUAAUUCACUAGAAUUUCCCCAUAUGUGCCAUUUCUUCCAAAGUCAGUCCCUUUUUGGGAGGCCUUAGGUUUCUCCACAGGGCUGAUGAGCCAGAUACUGUGUGUGUCCAGUCCCCUUCUGGGGAGAGAAAUGAGUUUAUUCACCUCCCUCAAAGAGCUGGUGAAAUACCUGGUGCUGGUCACUCACGUGAGCGAUACCAGGAGCUGGAAGGGGCAGCUGGCAGGACAUUAAUGGCAGCUUGUUUGUGCUCUGAAGAGGCCAGAGACACAUGGCACCAGAGCUGAGAGGGAUCCGUGUCCUCCAGGCCCUCACCUCCCCCUGUACCCAGAGUGGUGGCCAUGGUUCUGCACACUCCUGGAGGAGAGGCUGCCCUGACCCCUGAGCUCUUCUUUUCCUUGAGCAAGUCCUGCAGGGCAGUGGUGCCCCCCUGUCCACUGCCCGUUAGUGCCAGCUCCUUGUGGCACUGGUCAGGUCACCCUGUGUGCCACCCCAACACCAGGUCACACCUCUGAAGACUGAGGGCAGUGUCAACGAAAGGUCCAGUGGAGAAAGUGGGUUCAUGCUCCCCUGAGACUGAAUCACAGAUCAUUUAGGGCGGAAAAGACCUCUGAGGUCAUCGAGUCCCCCCUGUGCCCAAUGCCCACCUUGUCCCCCAGCCCAGAGCACUGAGUGCCACGGCCAGGCCUUCCUUGGACACCUCCAGGGGACUCCACCACCUCCCUGGGCAGCCCCUGCCAAUGCCUGACCACCCUUUCCAGGAAGAAAUUCCUCCUGUUGUCCAAGCUGACCCUCCCCUGGCACAGCUUGAGACCUUUUUUCCUGAGCACAACAAGGCUGCAGCAGGACCUGUCGUGGUCAGAGCUGAUGGAGCCCCUGUGAUGCUCAGUGGUGAGGGGAGCACAGCCAGUGCUUCACCCUGAACCCCUCCCUUGCAGUGGAACAUUUCUCUGACCAGAAAACCAGCCUCUCCCCAUGUGCUCGUUCAGGCACUGGCAGCUGAGCCUGAGCAGAGGCCAGAGCUCAGCCAGGCUCAGCUUUCCUGCUCUAACCCAGAGGCUGUGACAGUGGUGCUGGGCAAACAGGAAAGGGAGGUGAGGGAGCAGAGGGCAGAGCGAGUCUGUGCCCCUUCUCCCGCUGCAGAGGUGUUUAUCCUAGUGACAAGUGCUGUGGGCCUUUCAUAACUGCUGCAUUAGCAGAGGAUCAAGUGGCACUUAAUGGGAGCAGUCUGCCUCACGAAGUGUGAUGGAAAAGGUCACGGGGGUUGAAGGGAAAACAUUUGCAGCAGGCUGACACAAGCCUUGGCUUCUGCCUGACAACAGGUGCCAGUUUGAUGGGCUGCCCUCCCCGUCCAGCAUGUUUGCUGCUCUCCCUCCUUCCGUGUGCUGGCUCAAUGUUUUGCACUGGCUCCAGGGAGCAUCUGCUGAGCUCCGUGGGUGGCACACAGGGAAUACAGCCCGCUGCAGAACGCAGGGAAAAGGUGAUUUGAGGCCAAAUGUUGGCUUCUGAAUGAGGGAAAACCAGGGAGUCGGGGGUGUGGCAAUGCUUCCUUGGGAAACUGCUCCAAGCUAAAUGGGCUGGUUGAUCAUGGCUGGGCUCUUCAAUGGCACAAUAAACAGCUUCUUUCCUCAA